CUGAUCUGAUCUGAUCUGAUUCUAAAAUUGGAACGAUACAGAGAUUGGUAUGGCCCCUGCGCAAGGAUGACACGCGAAUUCCUGAAGCGUUCCAUAUUUUG
ensembl:snRNA U6 U6 spliceosomal RNA